GUUUCUCCAUGAUGUGCUUGCUAAAAGAAGUGAGAUAUCUGGAAAAAAAUUAGACUUGUUUGUGAAAAAAAACCAAAAAACUGACCAAUAGGCUACCUAGAAAGCAUCCAGCUUGGAUCUCAGCUGCAAAGGAGAAAAUUUCUUGUGUUGAUCUUGCCCAGAGUGCUGGCCCUGCUGGACUCAACCCUCUUGCCAUCCAGUGGAUUAAAGCUGAGACCCAAGCCACCAGCAAGAUGCCAGAGCUGGAUGCAGAACUCCAGGUGGCGUCUCGUGAAGGCAGAGUAGAGGAGCAGGACCACCUCUCUUGACCUGCUGGCCACACUGCUUUGGGUGCAGCUGAAGAUGCAGUUGGCCUUCUGGAGUGUGGGCAUACCCAGGAGAGACUCCUGUUAGAAAAGCUUUGCCUGGAACAGCACAUAAUCUCUUGGCAUUUUGGAUCUGCAGGAGAAAACCAGAAUGUUUCCACCAUCAAAGGUCUCUUGGAGUUGUUGAAAGAAGGCUGGAACAGUCCUGGUUUUUGGACUUUCUUUUCUUAAGGUCUCCAUUUAGUUGAUUUUGGAAAGCAUGAAGUGUUUGAGAGGAUUAGAGACAGCAGAAGAAGAGGAAUUCAGAGUGGAGCCCUGAUUCCUGAGCUCAGUGUCCAUUGAUGCCUAAAAGUUUGCUGACUGGCUCCCAGCUCCAGGUCACUCCAGACUCCUGAGAUGAUGUCUUGAAGCUUUCUCCUCCACUGUGUCCUGGAUGCUCAUCU